UUAUUAUUAUUUUUAUAUUUAUUUUCUUAUUACUAACUUUUUAAAUUUUAUUUUCUUAUUACUAUUUUUUUAUUUUUAUUUUCUUAUUAUUAUUUUUUUAUUUAUUCUCUUAUUAUUAAUUUUUUAUUAUAAUUUUUUUAUUUUGUUAUUACUAUUAUUUUUAUUUAUUUUCUUACUACAAUUUUUUAUUAAUAUAUAAUUUUAUUUUUAUUUUAUUUUUUAUUUUCUUAUUAUUUUUUUAUUGUUAUUUUUUAUUUUAUUUCCUUGUUACUAAUUUUUUAUUAUAUAUUUUUUUUUAUUUUCUUAUUAUUAUUUUUUUAUUGUUAUUUCUUUAUUUCUUAUUAUUAUUUUUUUAUUUAUUCUCUUGAUUGGUUUAAGGGUGACCCCGCAUCGGAGUGCCACAUAGACCGCAAGUUGGGUCCGUUGUGUUGCCUUAGAGCUCAAUAUGUGAUAUGAUUUCCCCACCUAACCGAGAUUUUGGUCAAAGAUGUUAAUUCGUUUCGAGAAUUUGAUGAGAGAUUCGAUUUCCAGGUUCGAGAGUACUGAAAGAUUGUCAAUUGUUGGAGAGCCAAGAAGAGCGAGUCGACUUCUGGCUAGACCGGGACAACUGCACAGCAAAUGUCUGCACAGGUCGUUUUGAGGAACCCCGAGCCGACGUGCGUGAGUGCCCAAAAGGCAGUGUCCGAUUGUAGGAUGGCCAGAUUUGUCUGGUUGUAACGCAAGUAGUUUCCACUCGCCACCUCCGAUCAGCAAUGCUGUGAAAUUCUCGAUCAAUGAGCAAUUUACAUGUUGAGAGCGGAAUGUGGAUUGUGGGUAAGUUACUAACAUUUGAUUGCGCAGCUCCCGCUCUUGCGAGCUCAUCAGCUUUGCAGUUACCUUCGAAUCCACUGUGACCCGGUAUCCAGAUAACUUGGACAGAAUUCUGAACACUUAUCUCGUUAAGAGAUAAGAGACAAGAUCGAACCACAUCUGAGUGGGUAAAAGAGAAGCUGAGUGCUCGAACGACCGCUUGACUGUCGGUGAAAAAGCGGAUAUCCUCUAGUGAUAUUCUAUUUUCUAAGAGAGUUUUCGCAGCAUACCAGAUAGCGCAUACUUCCGCUUGGAAUACGCUACAGUAGUCGGGUAAUCUAAAUGAUAGAUUGAUGUGAGGGGAAUUGGAAAAGAUUCCAAAUCCCACUUUGCCGUCUUGUUUUGAACCAUCUGUAUAUAUAAUCAGAGGGCCAUCGAUUUCGGUUAGAUUUGUCUUCCAUUCUUCCCUAGUUGGGAGUGAACAGGAGAAUAGCAAGGGUGGUGAUGGAAGACUUACAUGAUAGUCUAUGUCGGAAGAGAUAACAGUGUUCCUGUUCAGUAUGGCCGAAUGGCCAAGAUACUAAUUCCAUUUCGAUAUAGCAUUCAUGCGAGUCGCUGCUUUCGCUGCAAUCGCUUUGCCAGCCAGAUCGAUAGGGAACAAGUGAAGCAACGUGUUUAGAGCCUUAGUAGGUGUUGUACUUAAGCAUCCUGUUAUCUGGAGGCAGGCUGUUCUUUGAACUCGAUCAAUUGUGGCUACUCUACACCGUUUUUCGAGUGCUGUCCACCAUACAACCACACCGUAGAAGAGUAUCGGUUUGAUGAUCGAGGUAUAUAUCCAAUAAAUGAUCCGAGGUGAAAAACCCCAGGUUUUGCCUAUAGCUUUCUUACAAAUAUAAAGAGCUAUGAAAGCUUUUUUACAUCUGUUUUCGAUGUUCAAUUUCCAACUCAACUUCCUAUCUAGAAUAACUCCUAGAUAUUUAGCUGAAUCAGAUAGAAGUAAUGAUUCCCCUUUUAAGGUUAUUGUUUGCAGUGGAGGAGAUUGUUGUUUCCUAUUGAAGAGAACAAGAUCUGUCUUUGCUGGAUUCGCAUUUAGUCCGCAUUCGGUGAACCAUUUUGACAGAAUAUUGAUUGAGCGUUGCAUGAA